ACAACCAUAAAAAAAACUCACCAAGCGAUCUAAACAAAGGAGUCUAUGGUUCAGAUGUUCCACAGAAUUUCUUCGCCGAAUUCCACAGAAUUUCUUUCAAUCCUGUUCAAAUGGACCAGGAUGCAAUAAUCGUGAAAUCUAUAGAAUCAAGUAGACAUUGAAGACAUCAAAAUUAAGACUGUUCGAAGAUCUGUGAUCCUUUGCAAAGAUCUGCGAUGUAAUGGACAGAGUGGUCAGAUAAAAUUGUGAUCGAGACAGAGAUAAGAGAGAAUCCAUAACUGUAAUGAGUAUGAAGCCCACAUGAAAGUCUAAGAAAAAGCUAAGUACUCUAUUUUCUUCUUUUGAAUAUCCGUUUGAGUAAUAAUAAUCUAAGCUACGGUUGGUUGAUAUAUUAUUUUAGUCUGUUUGUCUUAACACUUGAAUAAACUUAUAAAGAUAAUCUUCUUUGAAGAUAAGAGUUGUUUGAAUAGGUCAAUUAGGAUGAUAUAUGUAUUAUCUAUAGCUUAGUGAAGUUUGUUUGGUUGUUUGGCUUAUAUUGCAUUUAUUUUACGUUUCCAAUGACAGAUAUUUAUUUUAUGACAUGGUUUGUUUCUAAAAUUGGUUGUAGAUCACAUGUAUAUGUCUAGAUAAGUCCGAGAAUUUAUUUUUGGUUGAGUACUUUUGUGUUAUUUUUUUCACUUUUAGAGCAAGAACUCUUGUUAGACGUCGAUGCUAUGAAUUAUAAAGCUUAUUGAUAAAAGGAAAAUAUUCAACAAAGUUCUUAUUUCUGAUUUAUGUAAACUCUAUACAUGGCGUGCAGGUCAUACAAGUCUGUUUGAUACUUAACGUGCACUUUCAAGAAGACAACAUAGCAUAUCGAACAACACAAGGUUUCUGCGGUAAGGUCUCUUACUGUAUAGACAACUCUUUCUUUAUAUCGUCGACACAAUUCUCCCCAAAAGAGCUCAAGCCACUAUGAAGGAAGUCAAUGGGAAAAUAAUUAGUAACUAAAAAGGAACAAACAUGUAUUUUGGUAUCCAUGAAACUCACUAGUUAAUGAACUCUACACCUCCGGCUGCAACUUCAUCUGAGGUCUCUCUUGAACUCGGCUUCCACAAAAUAUGUGUAUUUAGUGUUGACAACUGAUGUUGAGAGGGAUGUUAAAAGUAGUUGGAAUAAUUGGAGGACUGGUCGGAGCUCAAGUAUUUACGCCAGAAACUCGGAGGUACUGACUGCUUAGUCAAUUAUUGUCUCUUGGUGUUGACCCGCUUCCUAGCAAUCUUCUGCUCCUUUGCAUUAUUUAUUCCCAUCAGCCCUCUUGUGCUUUUCUUCUUGAAAGGUAACUUUUUAU